UGUCAAAUUCCUUGCAGCGGCUGGUGCGAGAUGGUAGGAGGGGGAACUUUCUCUCCUCUGCCCUAUCAUCCCUGUUGGUGCCGUGCCAGGACCGUAUGACUCCAAGAGCU
rnacentral:snoRNA from 1 species